AUUGAACGCUGGCGGCAUGCUUUACACAUGCAAGUCGAACGGUAACAGGUUAAGCUGACGAGUGGCGAACGGGUGAGUAAUGCAUCGGAACGUGCCCGAUCGUGGGGGAUAACGCAGCGAAAGCUGCGCUAAUACCGCAUACGAUCUGAGGAUGAUAGCGGGGGACCGUAAGGCCUCGCGCGAUCGGAGCGGCCGAUGUCAGAUUAGGUAGUUGGUGGGGUAAAGGCUCACCAAGCCGACGAUCUGUAGCUGGUCUGAGAGGACGACCAGCCACACUGGGGAUGGGACACGGCCCAGACUCCUACGGGAGGCAGCAGUGGGGAAUUUUGGACAAUGGGCGCAAGCCUGAUCCAGCAAUGCCGCGUGCAGGAAGAAGGCCUUCGGGUUGUAAACUGCUUUUGUACGGAGCGAAAAGGCUCUCUCUAAUACAGGGGGCUCAUGACGGUACCAUAAGAAUAAGCACCGGCUAACUACGUGCCAGCCGCCGCUGUAA
rnacentral:rRNA from 1 species